GGUAGAAAUACGCAGGAAAACACUGGACUUAAUGAAGUGGCUUAUAUACUUAACUCAACAAGAAAACAAAUGGUAAAAACAAAGAAAUAAAACAAUAAAAGUAAGCCGGAUACCAAUAUGAAUAAAAUUGUCCUAAUCGUUCGAGACACGUUUCGCCUUUUCCCAAGGCUUUAUCAAUCAGAAUUCCUGCUCUCUAAUGAAUUCUGUGUUUAUACUGGUUGAUUGUCCUAUGAUUGGAAAG